rnacentral:rRNA from 1 species
GUCCACGCCGUAAACGAUGAUUACUAGGUGUGGGGGGACUGACCCCUCCCGUGCCGGAGUUAACACAAUAAGUAAUCCACCUGGGGAGUACGACCGCAAGGUUGAAACUCAAAGGAAUUGACGGGGGCCCGCACAAGCAGUGGAGUAUGUGGUUUAAUUCGAAGCAACGCGAAGAACCUUACCAGGUCUUGACAUCGAGUGACGAACUUAGAGAUAAGUUUUUCCUUCGGGACACGAAGACAGGUGGUGCAUGGUUGUCGU